UAGGGACUCUUCCACAAUGGGCGCAAGCCUGAUGGAGCAACACCGCGUGAGUGAAGAAGGGUUUCGGCGCGUAAAGCUCUGUUGUUGGAGAAGAACGUGCGUGAGCGUAACUGUUCACGCAGUGACGGUAUCCAACCAGAAAGUCACGGCUAACUACGUGCCCGCACACGCGGCAAAACGUAGGUGGCAAGCGUUAUCCGGAUUUAUUGGGCGUAAAGCGAGCGCAUGCGGUUGCUUAGGUCUGAUGUGAAAGCCUUCGGCUUAACCGAAGAAGUGCAUCGGAAACCGGGCGACUUGAGUGCAGAAGAGGACAGUGGAACUCCAUGUGUAGCGGUGGAAUGCGUAGAUAUAUGGAAGAACACCAGUGGCGAAGGCGGCUGUCUGGUCUGCAACUGACGCUGAGGCUCGAAAGCAUGGGUAGCGAACAGG
rnacentral:rRNA from 1 species